rfam:Schistosoma mansoni, Puerto Rico, WGS project CABG01000000 data, contig: 0141
AUUCAGCUGACGAGUCCCGAAUAAGACGAAACGCGUGUCCUGGAU